AUUGAACGCUGGCGGCAGGCCUAACACAUGCAAGUCGAGCGGAUGAAGGGAGCUUGCUCCUGGAUUCAGCGGCGGACGGGUGAGUAAUGCCUAGGAAUCUGCCUGGUAGUGGGGGAUAACGUCCGGAAACGGGCGCUAAUACCGCAUACGUCCUGAGGGAGAAAGUGGGGGAUCUUCGGACCUCACGCUAUCAGAUGAGCCUAGGUCGGAUUAGCUAGUUGGUGGGGUAAAGGCCUACCGAGGCGACGAUCCGUAACUGGUCUGAGUGGAUGAUCAGUCACACUGGAACUGAGACACGGUCCAGACUCCUACGGGAGGCAGCAGUGGGGAAUAUUGGACAAUGGGCGAAAGCCUGAUCCAGCCAUGCCGCGUGUGUGAAGAAGGUCUUCGGAUUGUAAAGCACUUUAAGUUGGGAGGAAGGGCAGUAAGUUAAUACCUUGCUGUUUUGACGUUACCAACAGAAUAAGCACCGGCUAACUUCGUG
rnacentral:rRNA from 1 species